rnacentral:rRNA from 1 species
CCUACGGGUGGCAGCAGUGGGGGAUAUUGCACAAUGGGGGGAACCCUGAUGCAGCGACGCCGCGUGGGUGAAGAAGCGCCUCGGCGCGUAAAGCCCUGUCAGCAGGGAAGAAAAUGACGGUACCUGAAGAAGAAGCCCCGGCUAACCGCGUACCAGCAGCCGCGGUAAUACGUAGGGGGCAAGCGUUAUCCGGAUUUACUGGGGGGAAAGGGGGCGCAGACGGCGAUGAAAGCCAGGAGUGAAAGCCCGGAGGCCAACCCCGGGACUGCUCUUGAAACUGCGUGGCUGGAGUGCAGGAGGGGAAGGUGGAAUUCCUGGUGUAGCGGUGAAAUGCGUAGAUAUCAGGAGGAACACCGGUGGCGAAGGCGGCCUGCUGGACUGCAACUGACGUUGAGGCCCGAAAGCGUGGGGAGCAAACAGGAUUAGAUACCCGUGUAGUC